rnacentral:lncRNA from 1 species
AGACGUUCUGAAAGGAUAUCACCAGGAUGCCACCCAAGAAAGUGCAAAUCCAAGUGGAGGAGAAAGAAGAUGAUACUGAGGAAAGUUCAAGCGAAGAGGAAGAGGAGGAAAACAAACUACCUCGAAGACAGAGCUUGAGACCAAAGAGGAAACGGACCAGAGAUGUUAUCAAUGAAGAUGAUCCAGAACCUGAACCAGAGGAUGAAGAAACAAGGAAGGCCAGAGAGAAAGAGAGAAGGAGGAGGUUAAAGAGAGGAGCGUAAGUUAGUUCUGAUCUAUAAUUGACAUUCUUUUUCAUUCAAAAGUGCCUGAUGUGGAAAG